ACCUACGGGGGGCAGCAGUGGGGAAUUUUGGACAAUGGGCGCAAGCCUGAACCAGCCAAGCCGCGUGAGGGAAGACGGCCCUAUGGGUUGUAAACCUCUUUUGUCGGAGAACAAAACCCGGGACGAGUCCCGGACUGCGUGUAUCCGAAGAAAAAGCAUCGGCUAACUCCGUGCCAGCAGCCGCGGUAAUACGGAGGAUGCGAGCGUUAUCCGGAUUUAUUGGGUUUAAAGAGUGCGUAGGCGGUCCGUUAAGUCAGCGGUAAAAUUGCG
rnacentral:rRNA from 1 species